UACGGUAGGGGGCAAGCGUUGUCCGGAUUUAUUGGGCGUAAAAGGCGCUCGCAGGCGGCUUGAUGCGUCGUGCCGUGGAAACACCCCCGGGCUCAACUGGGGAGGGUCGUGCGAUACGGUCAGGCUUGAGGCCAGGUAGGGGGGACGCGGAAGUUCCGGGAUUGUGAGUGGUGGGAAUGACGUAGAGAUCCGGAGGAACACCAGCGGCGAAGGCGGCUCACUGGCCCGGAACGUGACGCUGAGGUGCGAAAGCGAUGGGGAGCAAACAGGGGAUUAAGAAACCCGGAUGUAACCGUCCGA
rnacentral:rRNA from 1 species